rnacentral:pre_miRNA from 1 species
AUUUGAAUCACUUAGAGAUCUUGUUAAAAUGCAGAUUCUAAUUCAGGAGAUCUAGGAUGGGGCAUAAGAUCCUACAUUUCAAACAAGCUCCCAGGUAAUGCAAAC